AGCUCAAUUGGAUAGAGUGUUGGACUACGAAUCCAAAGGUCGCAGGUUCGACUCCUGCC
rnacentral:tRNA from 1 species